rnacentral:tRNA from 1 species
ACUGAAGUGGCUGAAAGUAAGCGUUGGUCUCUUAAACCAAAAAUAAUAAGUAAACCGUGUAUUCUUAGUG